UUGCCAGACUCCUACGGGAGGCAGCAGUGGGGAAUAUUGCACAAUGGGGGGAACCCUGAUGCAGCGAUGCCGCGUGGAGGAAGAAGGUUUUCGGAUUGUAAACUCCUUUUAUCAGGGACGAUAAUGACGGUACCUGAAGAAAAAGCUCCGGCUAACUACGUGCCAGCAGCCGCGGUAAUACGUAGGGAGCGAGCGUUGUCCGGAAUUACUGGGUGUAAAGGGAGCGUAGACGGCAGCACAAGUCUGGAGUGAAAUGCCGGGGCUUAACCCCGGAACUGCUUUGGAAACUGUGCAGCUAGAGUGCAGGAGAGGUAAGUGGAAUUCCUAGUGUAGCGGUGAAAUGCGUAGAUAUUCGGAGGAACACCGGUGGCGAAGGCGGCCAACUGGGCUUUAACUGACGCUGAGGCUCGAAAGUGUGGGGAGCAAACAGGAUUAGAUACCCCAGUAAAC
rnacentral:rRNA from 1 species